rnacentral:rRNA from 1 species
AGGAGGAUUGCUAGGCUUGAGGAGAGAAGAAGGACGUGGCAAGCUGCGAUAAGCUCGGGGUAGGCGCACGCAUCCUAUGAUCCCGAGAUGUCCGAAUGAGAAUCUUACACUUUUGUGUACUCCAUUACAAUGGUGAUGGAGAUCGAACCGUGGGAAUUGAAGCAUCUUAGUACCACGAGGAAAAGAAAUCAAUUGAGAUUUCCCAAGUAGUGGCGAACGAAAAGGAAAUAGCCCAAACUGAAUCCUUCGGGAGAUGUGGUGUUUUGGUAUGAUAAUAUGGAAUCCUGGAUCCCAGUUGAAGUAAUCUGGAACGUUAUGGCAUAGAGGGUGAUACCCCCGUAAACGAAGUGUGAAGGGUCCUAUUCAUACCAGAGUAGUUGUCCUUGGUAGUGGGCAAUGAAUAUGGGUGAAAGUAGCAUCCGAGGCUAAAUAUCUCUCAAGACCGAUAGUGGACUAGUACCGUGAGGGAAAGCUGAAAAGUACCCCGGAAGGGGGGUGAAAAGUGCAUGAAACCUAUUGGUUACAGACGUGCGUGGCAUGAAAGGUGAUUCUUUCAGAUUGGAGGUUCUAGCAAUAGAGCUAAAGAUUUGAUGUCCAAAUCAUCAGUGUCACGCGUUCCGUCUCGAAACACGGGCCAGGGAGCUAACCGUCAUGGCAAGCUUAAACCCUUAAAGGUGAAAGCGAAGGGAAACCGAGUUCUCGCAGCAUUGUGAGGAGAAGCGUGUGAAAGUGCGUUAAGUCAUGGCGGCUAGGCUAGAAGCCAGUCGAUCUAUUCCUGAGCAAGAUGAAGGCGGGCGAAAGCCCGCUGGAGGUCUGAAGCAGUUCUGACGUGCAAAUCGUUUGUGUGACUUGGGAAUAGGGGUCAAAAACCAAUCUAGACUGGCGCUCGCUAGUUCCAACCGAAGCGUCUCGCAGGGCGUGCUUUGUGGAGAUAGUGUUUCCGGUAGAGCACUGAUAGGACGGCGCGGGGAAGAGAUUCCUCACCGUCCAUUCAAACUCCGAACGGAUAUACAUCGUAGAAGCAAGGACACGGGUUCAUGUGGCGUAAGGCUCAUGACCGAAAGGGGUUUAACCCAGACUGAAGUUAAGGUCCCCAAAUUUUUGCUAAGUGUCAAGCCAAAGAGUGUGUUCUCGCCAAGACAGCAGGGAGGCCUUUAAAAAGUGUGUAACAACUUACCUGCCGAGGGGGGAUGCCUCAAAAACGGACGGGGCUAAAGCAAAGUACCGAUACUUUAGAUAAUCAUCAGUGGAUGAUUCGUGGUAGGUUGGCGUAGUGAUUGGGUCGAAGCAGGGCGGUGACGUCCUGUGGACCGGUUUCUAUUGCAGAUCCUGGCGGCAGUAACAGCAUAGUAUUGUGAGAAACAAUACCACCGCAAGCGUAAGGGUUUCCAGGCAAUGCGUUAUCAGCCUGGAGGUAGUCGAUCCUAAGGUUUACCUCAACAGAGUAAAUCGAAUGGGAAACUAGUUAAUAUUCUAGUACCUUGCAUGGAGCGUUUGAGCUAUAUGAUUCGCUUUCGGAUAGGGAUUGUAUAACCAUCGUUAUAUCUAACUGUUCGAGGGUUGGGGAGUGUCGUAAUGACGAGAACCAACCCGAGACGGGAAUGGCUCCGCGUUAGCGGAGUUUCCUUGAGUCCAAGAGACCAUGAAAGAUUGUGUAGUAAGCAAAGUGCAAGCUCGUACCCAGAACCGACACAGGUGCGCUGGCUUAGAAAGCUAAGGUGCUACGGGUAUACCGUAUGGCGAGGGAAUUCGGCAAAAUAGUCCUGUAGCUUAGGUACAAGGGAUGCCUGCGGUCUUCAUGAGGAAUGGGGAUCGCAGGUUGCAAUUACAAGGGGGUCCCGACUGUUUAAUAAAAACACAGGCGACUGCUAGUCCGAAAGGAUUUGUAUAGUCGCUGAAUCCUGGCCGGUGCCGGUACCUAAAACUUGGGUUCAACCGAGCUAAGGGCCGGUUAACGCCGGGAGUAACUCUGACUCUCUUAAG